rnacentral:rRNA from 1 species
GUUGUAUGGUUAAGUGACUAAGCGUACACGGUGGAUGCCUUGGCAGUCAGAGGCGAUGAAAGACGUAGUAACUUGCGAUAAGCCCAGAUUAGGUAGUAACAACCAUUUGAGUCUGGGAUUUCUGAAUGGGGAAACCCACGUGCAUAAGCACGUAUCCUUACCUGAAUACAUAGGGUAAGGAGGCGAACCGGGGGAACUGAAACAUCUAAGUACCCCGAGGAAAAGAAAUCAACCGAGAUUCCGAAAGUAGCGGCGAGCGAAAUUGGACUAGCCCUUAAGCUUUACACGCGUUAGACGAACGGUCUGGAAAGUCCGACGAUACAGGGUGAUAGUCCCGUAGUUGACGACGUGUGUUCAGUGAAAUCGAGUAGGGCGGGACACGUGAUAUCCUGUCUGAAUAUGGGGGGACCAUCCUCCAAGGCUAAAUACUACUGACUGACCGAUAGUGAACCAGUACCGUGAGGGAAAGGCGAAAAGAACCCCUGUGAGGGGAGUGAAAUAGAACCUGAAACCGUGUACGUACAAGCAGUAGGAGCAGGCUUUGUCCUGUGACUGCGUACCUUUUGUAUAAUGGGUCAGCGACUUAUAUUCAGUGGCAAGGUUAACCAUCUAGGGGAGCCGUAGGGAAACCGAGUCUUAACUGGGCGUUCAGUCUCUGGAUAUAGACCCGAAACCAGGUGAUCUAGCCAUGGGCAGGUUGAAGGUUGAGUAACAUCAACUGGAGGACCGAACCGACUAAUGUUGAAAAAUUAGCGGAUGACUUGUGGCUAGGGGUGAAAGGCCAAUCAAACCUGGAGAUAGCUGGUUCUCCCCGAAAGCUAUUUAGGUAGCGCCUCGGACGAAUACUACUGGGGGUAGAGCACUGUUAAGGCUAGGGGGUCAUCCCGACUUACCAACCCUUUGCAAACUCCGAAUACCAGUAAGUACUAUCCGGGAGACACACGGCGGGUGCUAACGUCCGUCGUGGAGAGGGAAACAACCCAGACCGCCAGCUAAGGUCCCAAAUUACUACUAAGUGGGAAACGAUGUGGGAAGGCUCAGACAGCCAGGAUGUUGGCUUAGAAGCAGCCAUCAUUUAAAGAAAGCGUAAUAGCUCACUGGUCGAGUCGGCCUGCGCGGAAGAUGUAACGGGGCUAAGUAGUAAACCGAAGCUGCGGCAAUAUACUUUUGUAUAUUGGGUAGGGGAGCGUUCUGUAAGCGGUUGAAGGUGUGUGGUAACGCAUGCUGGACGUAUCAGAAGUGCGAAUGCUGACAUGAGUAACGAUAAAGGGGGUGAAAAACCUCCUCGCCGGAAGACCAAGGGUUCCUGUCCAACGUUAAUCGGGGCAGGGUAAGUCGACCCCUAAGGCGAGGCCGAAAGGCGUAGUCGAUGGGAAACGGGUUAAUAUUCCCGUACUUCUUACAAUUGCGAUGGGGGGACGGAGAAGGCUAGGUGGGCCUGGCGACGGUUGUCCAGGUUCAAGUGCGUAGGCUUAAGAGUUAGGUAAAUCCGGCUCUUUCUAAGGCUGAGACACGACGUCGAGCACCUACGGGUGUGAAGUCAUUGAUGCCAUGCUUCCAGGAAAAGCCUCUAAGCUUCAGAUUGUAAGGAAUCGUACCCCAAACCGACACAGGUGGUCGGGUAGAGAAUACCAAGGCGCUUGAGAGAACUCGGGUGAAGGAACUAGGCAAAAUGGUACCGUAACUUCGGGAGAAGGUACGCUCUCGACGGUGAAGUCCCUUGCGGAUGGAGCUAUUGAGAGUCGCAGAUACCAGGUGGCUGCAACUGUUUAUUAAAAACACAGCACUGUGCAAAAUCGUAAGAUGACGUAUACGGUGUGACGCCUGCCCGGUGCCGGAAGGUUAAUUGAUGGGGUUAGACUUCGGUCGAAGCUCUUGAUCGAAGCCCCGGUAAACGGCGGCCGUAACUAUAACGGUCCUAAGGUAGCGAAAUUCCUUGUCGGGUAAGUUCCGACCUGCACGAAUGGCGUAAUGAUGGCCACGCUGUCUCCACCCGAGACUCAGUGAAAUUGAAAUCGCUGUGAAGAUGCAGUGUACCCGCGGCUAGACGGAAAGACCCCGUGAACCUUUACUACAGCUUGGCACUGAACAUUGACCCUACAUGUGUAGGAUAGGUGGGAGGCUUUGAAGCACGUACGCCAGUAUGUGUGGAGCCGUCCUUGAAAUACCACCCUUGUAGUGUUGAUGUUCUAACGUCGACCCCUAAUCGGGGUUGCGGACAGUGCCUGGUGGGUAGUUUGACUGGGGCGGUCUCCUCCCAAAGAGUAACGGAGGAGCACGAAGGUGGGCUAAUCACGGUUGGACAUCGUGAGGUUAGUGCAAUGGCAUAAGCCCGCUUGACUGCGAGAAUGACAAUUCGAGCAGGUGCGAAAGCAGGUCAUAGUGAUCCGGUGGUUCUGAAUGGAAGGGCCAUCGCUCAACGGAUAAAAGGUACUCCGGGGAUAACAGGCUGAUACCGCCCAAGAGUUCAUAUCGACGGCGGUGUUUGGCACCUCGAUGUCGGCUCAUCACAUCCUGGGGCUGAAGUCGGUCCCAAGGGUAUGGCUGUUCGCCAUUUAAAGUGGUACGCGAGCUGGGUUUAGAACGUCGUGAGACAGUUCGGUCCCUAUCUGCCGUGGGCGUUGGAAGAUUGAAGGGGGCUGCUCCUAGUACGAGAGGACCGGAGUGGACGAACCUCUGGUGUUCGGGUUGUGUCGCCAGACGCAUUGCCCGGUAGCUAAGUUCGGAAUCGAUAACCGCUGAAAGCAUCUAAGCGGGAAGCGAGCCCUGAGAUGAGUCUUCCCUGAUACUUUAAGUAUCCUAAAGGGUUGUCGGAGACUACGACGUUGAUAGGUCAGGUGUGUAAGUGCUGUGAGGCAUUGAGCUAACUGAUACUAAUUGCCCGUGAGGCUUAACCAUACAACACCCAAGGGGUUU